AGCGAACGCUGGCGGCAGGCCUAACACAUGCAAGUCGAACGAAGUCUUCGGACUUAGUGGCGGACGGGUGAGUAACACGUGGGAACGUGCCUUUAGGUUCGGAAUAACUCAGGGAAACUUGUGCUAAUACCGAAUGUGCCCUUCGGGGGAAAGAUUUAUCGCCUUUAGAGGGGCCCGCGUCUGAUUAGCUAGUUGGUGAGGUAAAGGCUCACCAAGGCGACGAUCAGUAGCUGGUCUGAGAGGAUGAUCAGCCACAUUGGGACUGAGACACGGCCCAAACUCCUACGGGAGGCAGCAGUGGGGAAUCUUGCGCAAUGGGCGAAAGCCUGACGCAGCCAUGCCGCGUGAAUGAUGAAGGUCUUAGGAUUGUAAAAUUCUUUCACCGGGGACGAUAAUGACGGUACCCGGAGAAGAAGCCCCGGCUAACUUCGUGCCAGCCGCCGCCGUAAGAC
rnacentral:rRNA from 1 species